rnacentral:rRNA from 1 species
AACGAACGCUGGCGGCAGGCCUAACACAUGCAAGUCGAGCGAGACCUUCGGGUCUAGCGGCGGACGGGUGAGUAACGCGUGGGAACGUGCCCUUUUCUACGGAAUAGCCUCGGGAAACUGAGCGUAAUACCGUAUACGCCCUUUGGGGGAAAGAUUUAUCGGAGCAGGAUCGGCCCGCGUUGGAUUAGGUAGUUGGUGGGGUAAUGGCCUACCAAGGCUACGAUGCAUAGCUGGUUGGUUAGGAUGCUCAGCCACACUGGGACUGAGGCACGGCCCAGACUGCUACGGGAGGCAGCAGUGGGGAAUCUUAGACAAGGGGGGCAACCCUGAUCUAGCCAUGCCGCGGGAGUGAGGAAGGCCUUAGGGUUGUAAAGCUCUUUCAGCUGGGAAGAUAAUGACGGUACCAGCAGAAGAAGCCCCGGCUAACUCCGUG